rnacentral:rRNA from 1 species
UACGUAGGGGGCAAGCGUUGUCCGGAUUUAUUGGGCGUAAAGAGCGUGUAGGCGGCUUUGCAAGUCCGUUGUGAAAACUCGAGGCUCAACCUCGAGACGCCGGUGGAAACUGCAAAGCUAGAGUCCGGAAGAGGAGAGUGGAAUUCCUGGUGUAGCGGUGAAAUGCGCAGAUAUCAGGAAGAACACCGAUGGCGAAGGCAGCUUGCUGGGACGGUACUGACGCUGAGGCGCGAAAGCGUGGGGAGCAAACAGG